AUUGAACGCUGGCGGCAGGCUUAACACAUGCAAGUCGAGCGAGCGGCGGACGGGUGAGUAAUGUCUGGGAAACUGCCUGAUGGAGGGGGAUAACUACUGGAAACGGUAGCUAAUACCACAUACCAUCAGAUGUGCCCAGAUGGGAUUAGCUAGUAGGUGGGGUAAUGGCUCACCUAGGCGACGAUCCCUAGCUGGUCUGAGAGGAUGACGAUCGACAGUGGAAAUGAGACGCGGCACAGGAGCCUACGGGAGGCAGCAGUGGGGACGAUAGGACAAGGGGCGCAAGCCUGAUGCAGGCAUGCCGGGUGGGUGAAGAAGGCCUGCGGGUUGGAAAGCGCUUUCAGCGAGGAGGCGUUACUGGCAGAAGAAGCACCGGCUAACUCCGGGCCAGCCGCCGCGGUAAUA
rnacentral:rRNA from 1 species